rnacentral:ncRNA from 1 species
GUGACUCUGGAGAACGCCCCUUGAGGGGGCUGCCGAAGGUGCAACGCGCGCGGUCAGGGGAAAAACCGCAAGCCAAUCUCUCAGGCAAAAGGACAGAGUGCG